ACAGUGGUGGUUCAGCGGGAGAAUUCUUGCCUUUUAUGUGGGAGACCCAGGUUCGAUUCCCAGCCAAUGUA
rnacentral:tRNA from 1 species